GCAUCGGUAGUGCAAAGGUUCAGAACGCGCCCCCUGUGAGGGUGAAAUGUGGGUUCGAAUCCCAGCAGACGCA